GGACAAUGGGCGCAAGCCUGAUCCAGCAAUGCCGCGUGUGUGAAGAAGGCCUUCGGGUUGUAAAGCACUUUUAUCAGGAGCGAAAUACCACGGGUUAAUACCCUAUGGGGCUGACGGUACCUGAGGAAUAAGCACCGGCUAACUUCGUGCCAGCAGCCGCGGUAAUACGAAGGGUGCAAGCGUUAAUCGGAAUUACUGGGCGUAAAGGGUGCGUAGGCGGUUAUUUAAGUCUGCCGUGAAAUCCCCGGGCUCAACCUGGGAAUGGCGGUGGAUACUGGAUAGCUAGAGUGUGUCAGAGGAUGGUGGAAUUCCCGGUGUAGCGGUGAAAUGCGUAGAGAUCGGGAGGAACAUCAGUGGCGAAGGCGGCCAUCUGGGACAACACUGACGCUGAAGCACGAAAGCGUGGGGAGCAAACAGGAUUAGAUACCCUGGUAGUCCACGCCCUAAACGAUGCGAACUGGAUGUUGGUCUCAACUCGGAGAUCAGUGUCGCAGCUAACGCGUUAA
rnacentral:rRNA from 1 species